AGAGUUUGAUCAUGGCUCAGGAUGAACGCUGGCGGUAUGCCUAACACAUGCAAGUCGAACGAUGUCUUCGGACAUAGUGGCGGACGGGUGAGUAACGCGUGAGAAUCUGCCUCUAGGAUGGGGAUAACGGUUGGAAACGACCGCUAACACCCAAUAUGCCGUAAGGUGAAAAAUUUAUUGCCUGGAGAGGAGCUCGCGUCUGAUUAGCUAGUUGGUGGGGUAAGAGCUCACCAAGGCUUCGAUCAGUAGCUGGUCUGAGAGGAUGAGCAGCCACACUGGGACUGAGACACGGCCCAGACUCCUACGGGAGGCAGCAGUGGGGAAUUUUCCGCAAUGGGCGAAAGCCUGACGGAGCAAUACCGCGUGAGGGAGGAAUGCCUUUGGGUUGUAAACCUCUUUUUUCAGGGAAGAAGAUCUGACGGUACCUGAGGAAUAAGUAUCGGCUAACUCCGUGCCAGCAGCCGCGGUAAUACGGAGGAUGCAAGCGUUAUCCGGAAUCAUUGGGCGUAAAGCGUCCGCAGGUGGUUUCCAAAGUCUGCUGUUAAAGACUGGAGCUCAACUCCGGAACGGCGGUGGAAACUUGGAAACUAGAGUUCGGUAGGGGUAGCAGGAAUUCCCAGUGUAGCGGUGAAAUGCGUAGAUAUUGGGAAGAACAUCGGUGGCGAANGCGUGCUACUGGACCGUAACUGACACUCAGGGACGAAAGCUAGGGGAGCGAAAGGGANUAGAUACCCCUGUAGUCCUAGCUGUAAACGAUGGAAACUAGGUGUGGCUUGUAUCGACCCGAGCCGUGCCGUAGCUNACGCGUUAAGUUUCCCGCCUGGGGAGUAC
rnacentral:rRNA from 1 species